rnacentral:lncRNA from 1 species
GCGCAGAGACAAAUAACCUUUUUUUUGUAGAAAGACGAAGUUUUCAUUCAUUAACAAGCAUAAUUACAUAAGGAUGAUUCCCUAUGGGGGUUUCCAGUAUUCUGGCUAUCAUAGCAACUGGUACUUGUAGAACAACUAACAUUAGGAUUCCCAAUUUCCGCUAGUCUAUUUAAUAAAUUUGUUGAAACAAAUCUAGUAGUAGUAGGGCCAAUUAUGUCAUCAUGGAGUAGCUUCAAAAACUUUUUAGGCGGCUUGUGCAAGGUUAUCAAGGAGUUGAUGCUUGUUUACUUUGAUCCUUCAGUAGCCAAAAAGUGAGCCACCUUGUUAUCUUCACAGAAGUUAUGCCGGAUCAUCGGAUUCCCCAGUCUCUUUAGUAAUGACCUGUACUCAUUAAUAAUGUUAGCAUAAAUGGAAUAGUUAUUUUGAUCGAUUAGGUGAAGUAUAUCAGUGGCAAUCAGUUUCGGUUUCCAAACUGGGAAGAUUUUUGUCACGCGCAAGUUGUAAACCAAUUUUGAGGGCUAGUAAUUUCAUAUGUGUUGGUGUGAGACCAAAAGUGUGAGACAAACAACCUUAUAUUUCUUUUCUUUGGAGAAAUAAUACCAAGAUAAAUUUUUUAUAAUUAAAAUUUAAGAGAUCGCGUUAAUUCUUUUGCUAAUGAUGAAAUAGAAAAUUUGUAGUUGAGUUUACAUGUUGGUAAGAUCAUUUUUCUUAUUUUGUCGUUGUUUAACAUAAAAUUUAUAAAGGAUAAUAAAAAUCACAAAAGCAUUUUGUUAUGUUUUAUUUUUUUUAGGACACCCGCCAAGCACGGGUGGGUAUAGUAGUUAUAUAUAUAUAUUCUGUUGUAAUUUAAUAGCCAUGUGCAGUAAUAGGUUAUUGAAUGUAAUAAGUUUACCAACGCCAAAAUAUCGUAAAAUACUGUUGUAAUGAUUAUCUGACUGCACUUUUAUGGUUACUUUGUUUCAACUUCUCUCUUCAGUUCAACUAAUUGAGCAGCAGUUUAGUACAAGCGAUGGAGACGAGAAAUAAUGAAGUCCUUGAAGGAAACAUUUUCCCCUUAUUUUCCCUUCCUAAGGAAUUACUUGCAAUUAUUAUUGCCAAAGUUGCUUCUUCUUCGUCCAAGGAUUGCUUCAAUGUCAAGAACAGGUAUCUGUAUUUCUUAUAUCAAAUCCUAUAUAUUGUUAGGAAAAUAAAUAUAUCCCGUCCAGGAAUAAUAUCCACGGCAAAUAAUAAUAAUACAAGAGAGUAACUAUAACACCAAAUCUUUUAACGGGGUAAAAUAUAAUACCCAAGAGAGGCAAUAUAAUACUACUAUAAUAUUACAACUGUGUAGUGACAAAAGACUACUACGACUCAAAAGAAAUAACACUCUUUAUUUUAAAUAUCUCACCACAAUAUUUCUCCCACUCUAUUUUCUCACAAACUAAAAAAUAGUAUGUGGAUUACUCUCACAACUUUAAUACUUCUCUCUUAUUUUGAUGUGC